AUAUUACAUGCUUUUUUGCUCGAGAACGCGCCGAGCGUCUGGCUGUAGAAGGUAGUAUGAAGAUUCGCUAAUAUUCAAGUAGUUUAUCGGUUUUUGACUGUUGGAAUAUAAACAACUAUAUGAAUAUACUGUAAAUCUAUACAGAUGUCCUUCUACUGCUUGUUGAAAUCCUUUUUGCCCAGUCGGUAGGUCUCUAGACGUUACAAAGAACCCCGAACAACAUAAACUACCAAUCUUUGAUACUGCUUUAUACUCACAAACUUGUAUCCACUGACUGUCUCGUUAGAUUAACCGAAUAAAUUUCAUUCACUCCGCAUACUCAAUCCUAUAGACAUCCUUUUAAUUCUUUAUCACAGACAUAACUCGAUUUCACAAAACAGUCAAGAGCAAUCACACCCACUUCAUUAAAAAUCCCGAUUCCAGUACAACACUUUGACUAUUUAGCAAUGAUUGCUUCUGUCUUCCCAAAACCCUAUGAAGAAAAAAAAAACCCCAAUUCUCUGUCUUUUUUCCCCGCCCCGAAGCAUGAAGCUAGCUCUCUGACC
rnacentral:lncRNA from 1 species